UGGGGAAUUUUCCGCAAUGGGCGAAAGCCUGACGGAGCAAUACCGCGUGAGGGAAGACUGCCUAUGGGUUGUAAACCUCUUUUUUCAGGGAGGAAUAAAAUGACGUGUACCUGAAGAAUAAGCAUCGGCUAACUCCGUGCCAGCAGCCGCGGUAAGACGGAGGAUGCAAGUGUUAUCCGGAAUCACUGGGCGUAAAGCGUCUGUAGGUGGUUUAAUAAGUCAACUGUUAAAUCUUGAGGCUCAACUUCAAAAUCGCAGUCGAAACUAUUAGACUAGAGUAUAGUAGAGGUAAAGGGAAUUUCCAGUGGAGCGGUGAAAUGCGUAGAUAUUGGAAAGAACACCGAUGGCGAAAGCACUUUACUGGGCUAUUACUAACACUCAGAGACGAAAGCUAGGGUAGCAAAUGGGAUUAGAUACCCCAGUAGUCCUAGCCGUAAACUAUGGAUACUAGAUGUUGAACAGAUCGACCUGUGCAGUAUCAAAGCUAACGCGUUAAGUAUCCCGCCUGGGAAGUAUGCUCGCAAGAGUG
rnacentral:rRNA from 1 species